GUUGUGGCUCAGCGGUAGAGCACUCGCCUAGCACAUGUGGCCCUCAGUUCAAUCCUCAGCACAACA
rnacentral:tRNA from 1 species